UACACUCCUACGGGAGGCAGCAGUGGGGAAUUUUGGACAAUGGGCGAAAGCCUGAUCCAGCAAUGCCGCGUGAGUGAAGAAGGCCUUCGGGUUGUAAAGCUCUUUUGUCAGGGAAGAAACGGUGAGAGCUAAUAUCUCUUGCUAAUGACGGUACCUGAAGAAUAAGCACCGGCUAACUACGUGCCAGCAGCCGCGGUAAUACGUAGGGUGCAAGCGUUAAUCGGAAUUACUGGGCGUAAAGCGUGCGCAGGCGGUUUUGUAAGUCUGAUGUGAAAUCCCCGGGCUCAACCUGGGAAUUGCAUUGGAGACUGCAAGGCUAGAAUCUGGCAGAGGGGGGUAGAAUUCCACGUGUAGCAGUGAAAUGCGUAGAUAUGUGGAGGAACACCGAUGGCGAAGGCAGCCCCCUGGGUCAAGAUUGACGCUCAUGCACGAAAGCGUGGGGAGCAAACAGGAUUAGAAACCCUGGUAGUCCCAU
rnacentral:rRNA from 1 species